CAGCCGCCACGGGAAUACGAAGGGGGCUAGCGUUGUUCGGAUUUACUGGGCGUAAAGGGCGCGUAGGCGGACUGAUAAGUUAGGGGUGAAAUCCCAAGGCUCAACCUUGGAACUGCCUUUGAUACUGUUUGUCUUGAGUUCGAGAGAGGUAAGUGGAACUGCGAGUGUAGAGGUGAAAUUCGUAGAUAUUCGCAAGAACACCAGUGGCGAAGGCGGCUUACUGGCUCGAAACUGACGCUGAGGCGCGAAAGCGUGGGGAGCAAACAGGAUUAGAGACCCCCGUAGUCCCUGUCUCUUAUAC
rnacentral:rRNA from 1 species